CCUACGGGAGGCAGCAGUGGGGAAUAUUGGGCAAUGGGCGCAAGCCUGACCCAGCAACGCCGCGUGAAGGAAGAAGGCUCUCGGGUUGUAAACUUCUUUUAAGAGGGAAGAGCAGAAGACGGUACCUCUUGAAUAAGCCACGGCGAACUACGUGCCAGCAGCCGCGGUAAUACGUAGGUGGCAAGCGUUGUCCGGAUUUACUGGGUGUAAAGGGCGUGCAGCCGGGAAGACAAGUCAGAUGUGAAAUCCCGCGGCUCAACCGCGGAACUGCAUUUGAAACUGUUUUUCUUGAGUACCGGAGAGGUCAUCGGAAUUCCUUGUGUAGCGGUGAAAUGCGUAGAUAUAAGGAAGAACACCAGUGGCGAAGGCGGCCUGCUGGGCUUUUACUGACGCUGAGGCUCGAAAGUGUGGGGAGCAAACAGGAUUAGAUACCCUAGUAGUC
rnacentral:rRNA from 1 species